CUUAUUUCUAGAGAUAGAAAGUUACUUCGGUACAUCGGUGACAGGUGGUGCAUGGUUGUCGUCAGCUCGUGUCGUGAGAUGUUGGGUUAAGUCCCGCAACGAGCGCAACCCCUAUUGUUAGUUGCCAUCAUUCAGUUUGGGCACUCUAGCGAGACUGCCGGUAAUAAACCGGAGGAAGUGGGAUGACGUCAAAUCAUCAUGCCCCUUAUGACCUGGGCUACACACGUGCUACAAUGGUUGGUACAACGAGUUGCGAGUCGGUGACGGCGAGCUAAUCUCUUAAAGCCAAUCUCAGUUCGGAUUGUAGGCUGCAACUCGCCUACAUGAAGUCGGAAUCGCUAGUAAUCGCGGAUCAGCACGCCGCGGUGAAUACGUUCCCGGGCCUU
rnacentral:rRNA from 1 species